GUAAAAAUGGAGAUUUUUUUAAAAAUACUUUUUCCCCCUCAAAAAAAGAAAAAAAAAAUCAGAAAGAAAGAAAAUCCAAAAAACAAACAAAAUCCCGCACCACUAACCAACACACACAGAAAGAAAGAAAGAAAGAAAGAAAGAAAGAAAGAAAGAAAGAAAGAAAGAAAGAAAGAAAGAAAGAAAGAAAGAAAGAAAGAAAGAAAGAAAGAAAGAAAGAAAGAAAGAAAGAAAGAAAGAAAGAAAGAAAGAAAGAAAGAAAGAAAGAAAGAAAGAAAGAAAGAAAGAAAGAAAGAAAGAAAGAAAGAAAGAAAGAAAGAAAGAAAAUAAAAACCCCAGCAGCUGCAGCAGCAGCGACAGUUUCUUUCUCUCCCCUCCCUCCCCCCGCCACUCUCUCUCUCUGACUCUCUCAAAACUUCAGCCCCCAAAGUUCAGCCGGAGCAGCAGGGAGAAAGAAAGGGAAAGAGCUUUCAGCGGAGAGCUGGAAAGUGAUGGGAGGAGGGACCCAGGUUCGGGUCAGAGCCUCCACAGAGUACAGAGGAAAAUAGCAUUUUCUGCCUCUCCUUUUGGGUACAUACAUGCUGUGCUGAUUCAGUUGGGUCCUAUGGAGAGUUCUACGGGACACAUUAAGACACAGAGGACUGCGGUUCUCAAAGCGAAAAGAAAACUAAGUGUUCAAAGGCAAAUACUGCCUGCCUGGCUCUUUCAAAUCACUAGGUCUCUUGGAUAAACAGCAAGUAUAAAAGAAGCUUGUUUUCUGUGUCCCGCUGGAAAAGAAUCAAAAAGAAUCAUCUAUGUGAACUGCUGUUACAAUGUGCUCUGAAGGAACAAUAUCACAGCUGGACAUAUUUUCUGAGGACUGUAAAUUCUUUACUGAGGAAUCUAGGGCUGUAACCUUGUUAUUUCUUUGCUUCAGCUGGAAUAUUCCACCCUACUGACACAAGCUUCUUUCCACUUGUCACUCAGCCAGUCACACCUCACAGCCAACAAGGUCCCUUGUUCAAGAUCUUUGUCUCAAGUAACCUCCUUACUCAAACCCUGAAUGGUACCAUUGAAAUGUCCCAAUGCAAAUGGGCCAUUUCUUUAUUUAAUGGUCUAUCCCCUUGCCUCUCACAUCUCUGAUUAUGAACAUCAUCUUCAUUUCAUACAGUGUGAAAAGAAACAAGUGUUUCCAUAGAUUUCACUCUGACAUUUUCCUAAGAAUCUUGAUUUCUUUGAGGGUCAAACUCCCUUUGAAUGAUGUUUUGAUGGAUCAUUAAGAGAAGAGUCUAAAAUCUUAUUCUGUUGCACUGAUUAAUUCGGUAUCUAUCAGAGAAAACUGCAAAUCAUUGCAUAAUGUCUCAAAAAUAUGAGAAUAUUAUAAUCUUACAAUUAAAAAAUAUUUAACAGAGAAGAUGAAUGUUUACCUGAAGUCUGAGCCUACUUUCACAAAAUUUAGAUUCCUAAGUCAUCCAUUUUGUCUAUAAAGUUACUAAUGUGAAAAAAAAUACUGCUGUCACAAGAGCUCUACUAACAACUUUACCAUUAACAUUCUUAUUAUUUCCUUACAAAAUAAUUUGUUAACAGUGUCCAAGUUUUUGCCCCCUGUAUCUAUUCAAAGUCUUAGACAUGAAUAGAAAAGCAACACCAAACUCAAUUACUCUCUUGCAAUCCAAGCACCUUAUCUCUGAAAAUGGCUGUACUUUGAAGUCCAGAAAGGCAGUAAAUGCAUCAUAUUUAUAACCAGAGUAACCUGGUUUUGCAGAGAUGCAAUGAGGUACUAGUCAAAUAAAAACUCACAGGAUGGAAAUAGCAUAAACUCAAAGGAAAACAAUCAGGUAGCAGAUAUCUGUACACUAAUAUGUAUCCAAACAGAAUUUAUGAUUAGUUAUGAUAGUUUGUUCAUUUGAUGAUUCUCAAAGCCUUCUUUAUUUUGUAGCUUCUAACAAACUUUAAAAAAAUUUCUUGGGGCCUUUCUCUAAAUAAGUCAUUUCUUUCUGGGAAAAAUGAAGAAAAAUGGUACCUGGUACAAAUACUACAAUCAAGAGAAAUAUUACUCGUAUAGCCCAACUGUGAUGUUCUUUCACUGUUUUAUACAGCUUUUAUCUUUCCUUGAUAAAAAAAAAUCUCUUAAAUGAACAUUAUUCCAACCUGGUGCAACUCCAAAAAAAAAAUAAAAACAGUGAAAGAAAAAGAUACUAGUUGAAUUUACAUACCUAAUAGUCUACCUUCAUCCAUUCUUUAAAAAAUACAAGUGUUAGCCCCUGCUGUAGCAUAAUCAUUAUGGUAUUUUAGUCACCUUGACCCAUUUACUUAAUUUAGAUAUGUCUUAUUAGCAUUAGAACUUCCAUACUAAAAUACUGUUUUAUCGUUAUCAACAGCUGUCUUGGGUUGCAAUAUGUAACCAAAAAUGUGUAUUCUAUCUCCAUCUGUUGAAACCAGUUGGGGAGGUGUUAUUUCUUUAUCUCUUAUAUAAUACAUUCUUCGUAACUCCAGGACGGAAGAAAGUGGAUGCCUUCUGAUAAUGGGCCAACUGUUAAAACCAGGUGGAGCAAUGUCCCUCUUCUCUUCCAUGAUCCAUCCUCCCUCCAGAGGGAUACCUGCUUUUAAUGGACCAUUAAGGCUCACCAGUGACUGACACAUUGCAUCCUCCCAUUGUGAGAUGCUCCACCCAGUGGGGAGGAGCCAACCAUUCCCACCUGGAUAAAGACUGAGACCCAGGGACACCAAGGCAGCCUGUGUUCCACUGGAUUCCCAGAGGGAGACCGGACCCAUCUCACCACCACUGGACCCUUCCACGGAUUGUCUCUACUCUAACAGAACCACAUCUGUCAUGCCAGGAAGAUUUAUUUGGACUGCUUCCAACACCCUGACCAACAGGGUGUCAGGUCAUAUUUCUGACUCUGUCAGGGUUUCUAAGAUUUUGUUUGUUUGUUUGCUUGCUCAGUGUUUUGGUGGGUUUUUUUGGUACUACUACAUUUGUAUUUUUAAUAGCAAAGAACAAGUAAGUAACAGUUCUAGUAAAGAACUAUUAUUCCCAUUCCCAUAUCUUUGUCUGAAAGCUGUUAAUUGCUUUCAGACAAAGAGAUAUUCAAGAGAUUAUAAUAAUUUGGAGGGAGAGGGUUCACAUUCUCCAUUCCAAGGGAAGCUCCAGCUUUCCCUGGCAGACACCUGUCUCUCCAAACCAAGAAAACAGCCAAGAGCAGGAGCAAAGAGUCAAAUAAAUUAUCGCUAGCUCUUAACAUUUCAAUCCAUUAUGAUGCAGAUGAAUGAAAUGUUAAAUGUCAUAAUGCUUGUAAAAAUACUGUCUAGCCGUAGCCUGCUGCACAAUAAGGCUCCUCCCAGUCCAUAUUGGUAAAGCUAUACAGAUAAUAGAAAUGACAUGAAAGAAAAUUCUAUAUUUGAGUAGAAUCCACUGUCUAAGAGAGCAAUCCUCUUUUUUUUUUUUCUAUCCCUCCUCAUCAAAUAGGUGGAGUAAUUUCAAAUAACUCCCUUAUGAACUAUAAGCUUGAGUGGGAGCAAGGAGUACAGAAAUAAUCUCCCUGCACAAUAUGACCCCCCUUCUAACUUCAAGAUUGCAUGGUCCCUAUAAUAAGAUGGCAUUCAACCCCCUCAGACUCAUUGCCUAGGUCUCUUUAGAUCAGUGGCUGCUGGUUCUAUUGACUGGUGCCAAAGUAUGUGUGGCAGUUUUCCUAAUAGACUCAAAUAUCUGCCAGGGACUGAGCUGAGGACACUAAACUAAUUUCAUGUUGGAGUUCAGGUUUAAGUAAUUUUUAAACAACAAAAACAUACUUCAUGCAUUUUCUCUCCAAGAGAAGAAAACAACCCCAAACCCAUGAGAGGCUAAAGCAGAAUAUGUUUCUAUAACAUAAGGAUAUAAGGUAAUCUUAAAUAUGAUAAAUGUAUGAUCUGCCUAUGACUUGCUGUCAAUUAUAGAAUUUAUCCCAUAUCAGAUGAAACAAGUUUAAUAAACCACUUAAGUGUUAUAAGGUAUGCUUUCUACCAACAUGAAUUAUGUAUCUAUCUGCAACCAAAUGUAUGUUUUCUAUCAUUCCGAAUAUUAAAUACAAAAACUAUGUUUAAAUAAUGUGAAGGGUCUGAUUUAAAGCAACAAAAGCUAAUAAAUUCAAAGUUUAUGCUGGCACUCUAUCCUUAACUCACACAAAUUGUUUCAAACAGGUAUAAUGGCAUGAAUUACACCCCUCUUACAUUUAUGUUUCUACUACCAUAUUUGAAUUUUCUGAGUUCUGCUCGCACAAGUCUCUCCAUGAGUGUCUUUAAAUAGAGUUCUAAAAUGUAAUUUAUUAGCUUUGUUUCUAUUUUUUAAGGCAAAAAUAUGCCUUGUGGACAUUUUUAAAAGGCACUCCUUUUUGGUCUGAGGAUGGAAUAGUUCCUUAGGAACAGUUUUAGUGUGUCUGAUACACGAUCUGAAUGCCUAAAAUAUGUAUGAAUUACUAUUACCUUUGUAUUAUUUGCAGAAGAGAUUGUAUUGGGUCCCUUGGAACUUUUCUGAUCUCUUGGGUUACCAUGGAUCUGGACAUAUAUUUAGUAUGCUCAUUAAAUAAUAAUUGUUAUUAUUUGUAAAAAAUUUUAGAGUCUCGGUGAUAUAGACAAUAGCAAAGUGAAUACCUUCAGUGUUUGUUCAAAUAAUGUGUUGGGUUUUAGCUGCUUUGCUGUGUCUAUCUUUUUAUAUGUGAUCACAUAACUGUGAAUAGGAUGUCAUAAACCAUAAGUAAAUUCUACCCAAAUGGGAUCCACCUAAGAAUUGUAUGUAAGAAUAUCUGGGGGGGAAAAAAACCCAGAUGGUUAGAAUGGUUCACACAAAGAAAAGUGUGUUUUUUAUAUUUGUGGCAAGGCAGUUAGCCAAGAAGUACUUGUAAGUCCUUGGUGAAAGGCUGAGAAUGAAGCAAGAUGGCAUUCAACAGUUUUCUAUCUCAGUACAGCACAUAAAUGCAUAUGUUGACAUGUAGGCACAGAUAACACAGACUUAAAAUGCCAUCUCAGUUGUAAGUUCCUCCAGAGAGGAGCAUGACUUAUAGUUAGGUUGGCAGCAUAGAAUGUAUCUAUUUAUCAAAUAGGAAAAGUUCUGUAGGAUAGUCUAAAAAGAAUCUCAGACUUUGAAACUAAGUUCUAAGAUUCAAAAUUGAUUCCAAUGUUUUGGGAAAGUCACUAAAUAGUGUUCUCUAAAAUUUCUCAUCUGCAAUACAGGAAUACUCUAUUAGGAGAAUCUCUAAGUUUUGUUUGUUAUUGCUGCUAUAGUACAGAAAAAAUAUAUACUACAUGUAUACAAAAUCCUAGUGACAUAUACUUAUUACUUAUCUGUUUGUAUGUAUGUAAAGAGGGUAUUUUUAAGUUUUUAUUUUGGACAGCUUUUUCUAACAUUCCCAUUUUUUUUUCUAACUACCUGAAUCACUGAUGAGUGCUCUAUGUGCGUUUAUUCAGUGAAUUUGAACUGAACUAUUAUGGUGCUAGACUGCAAAUCUGUUAACUAAAGAAACUCCUUAAAAUUAAUCUAGUAGGCAACCACUUUCUAGUACAUGUUCAGAAAAAGCCACUUAAUAUUUCUCUUCAAUUUAGUUAUACAUCAAGUAUGAUUUUCACCUUGGACAUUUUUCUUCUUCACCUUAAAGUGAGAGAAUAAAAAAGCACUAGUAAAUGUGGAGUGUCUCAACACACAUUUUCAUAUUGUUAAUCAAAAUCAGUUUUAUUUUGUUGUUCUGAAGUCUGCACGUCUGAAAUACAUGUAACUAAACUAUAUGAAUUUACAUUCCUAAACAAGUUUUACGUAUCAUAAAGUGUAAAGGUGCAUGCUCUUCUAGAUCUGGCUCAUGAAUGCUAAUUCUUAAGAUUCCUAUGAUUUAAGACUCUUCUAUAAUCAUCAGAUGUAGUACACACAAUGUCUGAGGAAGUUGUUAGAGACCACAUCACAGCCAAUUGUCAUAGGAAAUACCAAAUAAAAUGAAUAAACUAAACAGAAGAACACUCUUUGUAUGAAAACGAUGGAAUUUAUUUUGUAUGGAAGUUGGAAGGGCCUUGGAAAAGUCUCUGUCUCUUGCACUGCAGCUGUUUUGACUUACAUGGAUUUAGUGUACAGAUGCUAUUUCACAUUAAGUUCAGAGGGUCAUCGAUAUCAAUUGACAAUUUAAUUCCUAUUGCAUUAACACUGUGGUGUUUGUGGCUAUAUCAGAUGCUCUUCAUGAAAAGAAUAAUUAUUUAGAUCACAGAUUAACUGUGGUUUUGAGUGCAGUCCAUAACCUAGUGCUAAUGUUUCACUUGAAAAAGACUAAAUUAUAAAAUAUUUAAAGUGAAAGCCUACCUACUGGUGCUUUUUCCACUUGGAGCAUGAGGAUCUACCAAUGUAUCUACUUGGCUAAUGUAAUUUCAUAAUUAUGUGCUACUGCUGUAUGUAUAGAAAUCAUUCAUAAACAUAUGCCCACACAGAAAAAGCCAAUAAGGUUGGGCAGCUAUUUUUAGUUGAUUAUAAGCCAUAUGCACAUAUGUAUGUAUGAUACUAUACAGUUUAGAACAAAGUGUGUGUUUAUGACUAUAUGAGCAUCUCUCUAAAAGAAGUCAGACGAGAAAGGAAGAAUCUCUAAUACAGAAAUGGACAGAUACUGAAUGCAAAAGGUAUGUAAACAAAAAAACUUCACCGUUUUAUAGCAAAAGAAAGUGCAAU